rnacentral:rRNA from 1 species
CCAACAGGGAUUGCCCCAGUAACGGCGAGUGAAGCGGCAACAGCUCAAAUUUGAAAUCUGGCCCCAGGCCCGAGUUGUACUUUGCAGAGGAUGCUUCGGGCGACGGUCCUUCCCAAGUCCCCUGGAACGGGGCGCCUCGGAGGGUGAGAGCCCCGUACGGUCGGGCCCGAGCCUGUGUGAAGCUCCUUCGACGAGUCGAGUAGUUUGGGAAUGCUGCUCUAAAUGGGAGGUAGACCCCUUCUAAAGCUAAAUACCGGCCAGAGACCGAUAGCGCACAAGUAGAGUGAUCGAAAGAUGAAAAGCACUUUGAAAAGAGGGUUAAAUAGCACGUGAAAUUGUUGAAGGGGAAGCGCUCGUGACCAGACUUGCGCCGGGGCGAUCAUCCGGCGUUCUCGCCGGUGCACUCGCCCCGGCUCAGGCCAGCGUCGGUUUGGGCGCGGGGACAAAGGCGCCGGGAACGUAGCUCCCCCGGGAGUGUUACAGCCCGGCGUGCCAUGCCCGCGCCCGGACCGAGGUUCGCGCUCUGCAAGGACGCUGGCGUAAUGGUCACCAGCGGCCCGUCUUGAAACACGGACCAAGGAGUCGAGGUUCUGCGCGAGUGUUUGGGUGUCAAACCCGCACGCGUAAUGAAAGUGAACGCAGGUGGGAGCCUCGGCGCACCACCGACCGAUCCUGAUGUUCUCGGAUGGAUUUGAGUAGGAGCGUAGUGCCUCGGACCCGAAAGAUGGUGAACUAUGCUUGGAUAGGGUGAAGCCAGAGGAAACUCUGGUGGAGGCUCGCAGCGGUUCUGACGUGCAAAUCGAUCGUCAAAUCUGAGCAUGGGGGGCGAAAGACUAAUCGAACCAU